rnacentral:pre_miRNA from 1 species
CGGGGGAGGCCGGAUCCUGGGCUGUGUCCCGGCGCCCUGUGCUCCCGGGCCUGCACUGUUGGAUUUGCGCUCCCGCCCCGCAGCCCCCU